AAGAAUGAAACUAGACCACUCUCUUGCACCAUACACAAAGAUAAACUCAAAAUGGAUGAAAGAUCUAAAUGUGAGACAAGAUUCCAUCAAGAUUUUCACUCUUUCUGAUCGCAGAGGCAAAUGACUGAGAUAUCUUGUCACUGGGAAGUGGAACUCUCAGCAGGAGAUGUUUUCACAGAUUAAUCAAAGAGCUAUCUCUGAAAGGGGCUGAGCUGGAAAGUUUGUUUUUCUGUUGAGCACAGGACCAAACCACUACCUCCCAGCCAAGUUCAACUGGGAUGUUACUGAAGAACCUAGAAAUACAUUCGGUAUAUAUACAAGGAUAUAUUUAAUGGAAGCCCAGUCUCUUAAGGAUGGAAAAAGCACUUCUGAUGACAGUCUAGCUGAGUACCUUCUCAAUGCAGGCCUACAAAAUGGAUGAUACUGGCCAGUUAUGGCCGGAAGUGGUAACAACUUUUCAAUAUGGAAAAGUACAUAGAAAAGUAAAAGCAUCAACAACCUCAGGUUAGCCUUUUACAUUUUAAAAACUGUUCACUGGAGUCCAGGCCAAGGAGUUCCAGGUCAGGACCAGUGAGGGAGCCACUGCUAACCUCCCCUUUUCUGCAGUUCCUGUCAAGAGUAUAUUUCAGGUACCCAGUGAUCUCCAUGUUACAGAUGAGGAAAACCGGGAUUACGGAAGGGUUAGGAUAUUUGCCCAGGCGCACACAGCUAGUAAGAGAUGGAGCUAAAGCAUGAAGCUAAAUGUGUCUGGUUCUGGAGUCAUGCUGUUGUUCAUCUCUGAUGUACCCUGGGAUUUUAGAGGCUUCCUUAAUGAACAAAUACACAAAUGUCCACAGAGACUCAUUCUUGGACUCCGUGAGACCAGAACCUGGCUCUCCUGCUUCAAGACGCCCAUGGCCAUGGGGACAAGCUGUAGGGAGAGCAAAGUGAAGAGCAUGACACGAAGGUGACAGCUGAUCCUACAGUGUUCCCAAGGAAGUGAGGAUGACAGGAUCCAGAGCCUGAGAGGAGAUGCAUGGACUUUAGAUAGGAGGAAGGAUGCCUCUUCUGGUAGAGCCUGAAGGAAUUAGAAAAAUGCACAUCUUUUACGGACACGAGCAUAAUCUGCUGCAGGGACCACCCAAAAGCCAAGCUUGGGAAAAGCUAUUUCCAUGCACUGAGAUGUUUUAGGCACAGGGGAGCCUCCGUCAGCAGUGCUUCUCCAACUUGACGAAGCUGUGGACCCUGUGAGAAGCUUUUAAAAAUGCUGACCUCAGGCUACACCCCCUUACCAGUUAAACCAGGACCUCUGAGGUGGAGCCCAGGCUCCAGGGAUGAGGAAACUACCACCCAAGAGAUCCUAACUGCUGUCAAGUUUAAGAACCGGGUAUCUAGAAAUAGGAUUUAAUUUAACAUUUUCCAUUAAGAAUUAACCACAUAUGGUUAGAACCAAAAAAGAACUUUAGAGAGCCUUCAGUUUUAAAGCACACCAGCAAAUUUAUAAAGGAAAAAGAACAGAAAAUCUCUGGGUGCACACGCAAAGGGCAAGCGUCAUUCGGAUACACAUUUUUUUUACUUGCAUAGGUUUGCGUGAAUGAACGGUUCGAAAUAAAUGUAUUUCUUAUUGUGGGUCAGCCUCCAAAAAGUUUGAAAACCAGUGACCUGAGUAAACUACUUUCACUGGUGACAAAAUGAGGCUUAGAUAGAUUAAAAUAGUCUUUUUAAAAAUAAAUAAAUAAAUAAAUAAAUAAAAUAGUCUUCUUUAAAGUCACACACACACACACACACACACACACACACACACACACACGGGAUAGCAACUCCCAGCCUAGAACCUAGUGUUCCUGACAACUACCUGCAGAGCACCUGCGAUCUUCUAUUUCCUGUGUGUGCUGGUUUCCCCUCUCAGCUCUGUAGUGUAAACUCCCUGAGGGCAAGGAUUGUGUCUUCCAUGCUUCAGGUGUACCGACAUUCGCAGCUUUUAAAAAACUUUAGGCCUAGCACCGAGUCAGUACAUAAGAAGCGGCAGAUGUUUCAAUCCUUAAGAAGAUGAAAUUUAAUGGGAAGGUCAGGUUAGAAGUGCUUGAGAGCGUGAUGUCCCGGGAAAUGCUAAAUUGUGGGGUGCUAAGAGUGCUUGGAGCAGCCCCAAGAGUAGAAGCCCAGCGUGAUCCUCACAACGCACAUCUCUCCUCCCUGAAAACGCUGCCCAAGCAUUCUGCAUCUUCAUCUCUAGACAAUGCUACUGGGUAAGUAGAACGCUCAUCUGGUAGCAGGGGUGGGGAAAAAAGGCUUUAAAAUAGGUCUGUAAAAAUAAAAAUCCACCAAAGAAUUUAAUGUCCCUUAAAUAGGAUUUGUGUGGUGGCUUCCUCUUAGGCUUUCAUCCUCCUAAAAAUUCCAAAUGCCUGUAACCAAAUAUUGAGUGUGUUUUAACCAGGCGGUAACUGCUACUUUUCAUUUUCUCUCCAGCUUCCAGGAUGAUGAAAACCAAAUGUUCGGAUCACAGUAAAUUCACUAGAAAAAUGUUUCUGACUCAUUACAUCCUCCUGCCCCCACAUGUGCUCUUUAUCGUUUAUGUUUAUGCUAUGGGUCCUCUUCAGUUGUGACCUAUUGCAAAUCUACUUGGAAGGAGAGGUGAAGAAUUAGACCUGAUUCUCAUGUGAAUCCCACGGAUGAUCCGAGAGCCCAGAAAGGAGGAGUGUAACACCAGAAUCUAGAAACCUUGCCCUUGAAACAGAGCUCUGGUCACCGAAGGAUCUGCCUUCCUUCUGCUCCACUUUUGGCCUCUGGACACAGAAUAAAGCCAGGACUGUCCUUACUUGACUCCGUAACGGCCUCUGGGGACAGUGGCAGUUGUCUCUUGGCCAGGCUCUGUCGUUUUUCUGUCCAUACGCUCACCACCCGUGUCUUGCUUCAUAACUACAUCAAGUCUGGGUCGCUCCCUCUGCUCCCUGGCCCACCUCUUCGCUGGGCUCUGUCCUCGGCCUCCUCUGCCAUUUAGCUACAGCUGUUUGCCCUAGGGGGUGACAUGUCACGGCAGAAAGAAGAGUGGCCUUGAAGUCAUCGCCAAGUCUUGGCCCUGCCACUUCCUAGCCCCCUGACCUUGUUCUCUCAAGAUGCAGUUGCCUCAUCUGUUAAAACAACAACAAAAGGCCAGGAGCCACCAGUGCUCAUUCUGUCCA